rnacentral:rRNA from 1 species
GACGAACGCUGGCGGCGUGCUUAACACAUGCAAGUCGAACGGAAAGGCCCUGCUUUUGUGGGGUGCUCGAGUGGCGAACGGGUGAGUAACACGUGAGUAACCUGCCCUUGACUUUGGGAUAACUUCAGGAAACUGGGGCUAAUACCGGAUAGGAGCUCCUGCUGCAUGGUGGGGGUUGGAAAGUUUCGGCGGUUGGGGAUGGACUCGCGGCUUAUCAGCUUGUUGGUGGGGUAGUGGCUUACCAAGGCUUUGACGGGUAGCCGGCCUGAGAGGGUGACCGGCCACAUGGGGACUGAGAUACGGCCAAGACUCAAACGGGAGGCAGGAGUGGGGAAGAUAGAACAAUGGGCGGAAGCAGGAUGCAGCAACGCCGGGUGGGGGAUGACGGCCUUCGGGUGGGAAACAGCUUGCGCCUGGGACGAAGCGCGAGGGAGGGUAAUGGGGAAAGAAGCACCGGCGAACUACGG